rnacentral:misc_RNA from 1 species
CAAUCAUUUCUGACAUUUCAGCAUUUUUAAUUGCCCUCUUUCGUUAUUGCAUUUCGUGAAAUCAAAUGAAAAUGUAAUAACGCUCAGACAAGUGUCUAUUAUAUAUCAUUUAACACACAUUUUAUUUAAAAAUUGUUAAAUUGAAUGAAACGCUACACAGUCAAUAAGGCAAUGAUAACUGCUUACAGGCAUUAUUAUACGCUUAAUUUGGAAUUAAAGAAGUCGGCGCAUUGACAUUAACUAGUCAUUUAAUAUACUGCGUACUCGUCAAAAAACAACAUUUUAUUUAAAGAUUACAAUUCACCAAUAGUUAUUACGUCUAUUUAUGUACGUUAGAGCGUCUGGCGUUAUCAACGAUACUCGUGCAAGAUAAUUUCAAACACGCCAAGGAGGUUUGAUCAUACAAUAAAAAUUAGUAACAAUUAACCAUUGGAAUUGUUCACAUUGGAGUGGAGUAACGCAGACGAGCAGCGAUGGCACCGAAAAUUGACAAGGAGCUGCUGCCGAUGAAGGGACAUUAUUUCUUUUUCAAUGCAGGAACGGCGCCGGUAAUGCCUUUUAUGCCCACAUUGGCGCGUCAAUUAGGCUUCUCUACAGUGGUCAUCGGUACUAUGUACACAAUUUUGCCCAUUGUUGGCAUGCUGGCCAAGCCGCUUUUUGGAUUCAUUGCUGAUCGCUACCAACGCCAUCGCACACUUUUCCUCAUCGGCGAAGUUCUCACCGCUAUAGCUUUUUUCCUCAUACAAUUCACACCAACCAUUCCACAAGCACUGCCCACGAUGGAAUUUAAUUGUCACGGCGGCGCAUCCACGUUAAAAUACUAUUCCGAAAUUGAUAAGUGCAUAGAAAACAAUCUAGAGAGUUACUAUGGUGAUCGGGUGCUAACGUGUCAGCUAUAUUGCCAAACAGAUCCAGAAAAAAUUGAUUUCGUUUGUGAUAAUUGGUUGCACAACAAUAGUACAACCAAUAACAAUAACAACAAAAAUGUUACAUGCCCCGAUCGCAACAGUCCCCAACUAAAUUUCACCACAUUUCUGGACAUGGGUAAAAUGGAAAUGCCAGGUGAUCAUUUAUUCUUUGUCAUACCACAUGAUAGAGGUCAAAUGAAUGGUGAAAAUAUAACAUUAAAUUGUCCAUAUGAUAAACCGUUAUUCAAUACAAGCUGUCACAUUGAAUGCAAUGAUGAUUAUUUCCAAAGUGAAUUGACACAAAAUACUGCAAUCAGUAAUGCUGAUGUGUGGGGUAUGCAUCAGUUUUGGUAUUUCUUCAUUAUGCUCAUCGUAAGUUGGAUCGGUAUGGCGGUGGUGGUGAGCAUUGGUGAUGCGAUAUGCUUUUCAAUACUGGGCGAUCGUCAUCAUUUGUAUGGGAAACAAAGGUUAUAUGGUUCCAUUGGUUUUGGUGUGUUCUCCAUUAUUGCCGGAGUGCUAGUGGAUCAAAUGUCGCACGGUAGCGCGAGUAAAGACUAUACAGUCGUGUUUUGGAUGACAUUGGUGAUAAUAGGUUUCGAUUUGGUCGCAUCUACCAAGUUAAAGCACACGCAAACACACCUCUCACCCAACAUACUCAAAGAUGUUGGCAAAAUGUUUCUCUCCAUUCGUUGUGUGAUCUUCUUUCUUUGGUGUAUCUCGAUUGGCCUUUGCACGGCGCUCGUUUGGAACUUUCUCUUCAUGUAUUUGGAUGAGUUGGGUGAAAAAUUGGAGGGUUGUCAGAAUUCCAUGAAGACACUGGAAGGCAUAGCCAUGGGUAUACAAAGUUUUGGCGGUGAAUUGCCCUUUUUCUUCCUCUCCGGCUGGAUAUUGCGUAAGAUUGGUCAUAUAAAUUCUAUGAGCUUAGUGCUUUUUGCUUUCGGUGUGCGUUUCAUACUCUAUUCGCUGUUGGUGGAUCCAUGGUGGGUAUUACCCAUUGAAAUGUUGAACGGUGUCACAUUCGGUAUAUUCUACGCCACCAUGGCCUCGUAUGCGAGUAUUGUGGCACCGCGCGGCACUGAGGCGACUAUGCAGGGCUUAGUCGGUGCCAUAUUUGAAGGUGUGGGUGUAUCUAUGGGCAGCCUUAUCGCGGGUAAUCUAUUUGCCGCUGUCAGUGGCAGUGGCACUUUCCUGAUUUUUGGCAUUUUCGCCUUUAUUGCAUUUAUCGUGCAUGUGUUGGUGCAAUGGCAUUUGCAGCGCACUGGCCAAGGCGAUGCUGAUGCUAAUGUUACAUUAAAACUGUAAAAGCUUUACUAAAGUACAAAAUGCUCGUGCGCCAGUAUAAAAAUUGCAUUUCCGACAAUAUCAACAUCAGGCGCUGUUAAAUAUUUGACGCCCAACGAUGCAAUGCAUAUGCUCAACGAUCAAGAAUACAGUAUUGUCGCAUAAAUAAGUGAUUCGAUUACAUUAAAGAUGCUAAACAACUGUUGAACAGUUUUUUGGCGUUAACAGUUAUGCAGUGUACCGGUAUUUUAUAUGGCUGAGGAACGUGUUGUAGCUACCUGCACUUGCUUUGAAGUUUUUAUUUUACCCUGAGCUGUGAACACUUUCAACCUGUUGCGUACUUAUUAGGAGUGGCAAUUACACGCAGCUAACGCGAAAGCCGUGUACCAACUCAGUUAAUAGAACAACAUAGUAUUUAUAUGUUAUAAAAUAAUUAAAAUAGUAAGUUAGCUGUUAUUUUUGUGGUAUGCUUGGUGUUUUUUCACUAUUUUUCUGUUUUUGUUUCAAGCAAAUCAUUUUUGUGUUUUAAAUAUCCAAGAGGCAUUAUUUUGUUCUAUACUUAGUGUUUACAAACUAUGUUAGCACAAUUGGUUAUAUUGUAUUAAUUUAAUUAAGCAAUAAGUAAUUAAAAUAAUCUUACAAAUUUCGCAACUGCUUUAAGUGCACAAAGUUUUAGGCUAGUGCUAACUAGUAUUCUUCAUGCUUGCUUAGUUAAUUACUGUGU